AUUGAACGCUGGCGGCAGGCCUAACACAUGCAAGUCGAGGGAAACGAGUUAUCUGAGCCUUCGGGGGACGAUAACGGCGUCGAGCGGCGGACGGGUGAGUAAUGCUAGGAAAUUGUGAUGUGGGGGAUAACCAUUGGAAACGAUGGCUAAUACCGCAUGAUGCCUACGGGCCAAAGAGGGGGACCUUCGGGCCUCUCGCAUCAGGAUAUGCCUAGGUGGGAUUAGCUAGUUGGUGAGGUAAGGGCUCACCAAGGCGACGAUCCCUAGUGGUCUGAGAGGAUGAUCAGCCACACUGGAAUUGAGACACGGUCCAGACUCCUACGGGAGGCAGCAGUGGGGAAUAUUGCACAAUGGGCGCAAGCCUGAUGCAGCCAUGCCGCGUGUGUGAAGAAGGCCUUCGGGUUGUAAAGCACUUUCAGUCGUGAGGAAGGUAGUGUAGUUAAUAGCUGCAUUAUUUGACGUUAGCGACAGAAGAAGCACCGGCUAACUCCGUGCCAGCAGCCGCGGUAAUACGGAGGGUGCGAGCGUUAAUCGGAAUUACUGGGCGUAAAGCGCAUGCAGGUGGUUUGUUAAGUCAGAUGUGAAAGCCCGGGGCUCAACCUCGGAAUUGCAUUUGAAACUGGCAGACUAGAGUACCGUAGAGGGGGGUAGAAUUUCAGGUGUAGCGGUGAAAUGCGUAGAGAUCUGAAGGAAUACCGGUGGCGAAGGCGGCCCCCUGGACAGAUACUGACACUCAGAUGCGAAAGCGUGGGGAGCAAACAGG
rnacentral:rRNA from 1 species